rnacentral:rRNA from 1 species
AUGACGUCCGUCCCUACAAUUGAUCUCCCUACUAUAAUAGAGGCUACAGGAAAUUUCUCCGAUGCAAAUAAAGUUGUUGAAGAAGGAUUUAGUGUUGUCUACAAGGGGCAACUACCUGGUGGUACAGUGGUUGCUGUAAAGAGGCUCAAACAGGGGACACGGCGAUUCGGUGCUCGAGCUCAGAUGCUCCUGAAAUCGCUGGCGUCCGUUUCUGGCUCGGGAUCUGAACAAAUCGUUCUGACGCGUCUGAGCAGAAAUCUAUACUACUAUUAA